UACGGAGGGUGCAAGCGUUAAUCGGAAUUACUGGGCGUAAAGCGUGCGUAGGCGGUUCGUUAAGUCUGUUGUGAAAGCCCCGGGCUCAACCUGGGAAUGGCAAUGGAUACUGGCGAGCUAGAGUGUGUCAGAGGAUGGUGGAAUUCCCGGUGUAGCGGUGAAAUGCGUAGAGAUCGGGAGGAACAUCAGUGGCGAAGGCGACUUACUGGACACAUAUUGACGCUGAGGUGCGAAAGCGUGGGGAGCAAACAGG
rnacentral:rRNA from 1 species